UACGUAGGGAGCAAGCGUUGUUCGGAUUUACUGGGCGUAAAGGGUGCGUAGGUGGCGUGGUAAGUCGGAUGUGAAAGCCCGGGGCUCAACCUCGGAAUAGCAUCCGAUACUACCAUGCUAGAGUACUGAAGAGGUGACUAGAAUUCUCGGUGUAGCAGUGAAAUGCGUAGAUAUCGAGAGGAAUACCAACGGCGAAGGCAGGUCACUGGGCAGUUACUGACACUGAGGCACGAAGGCCAGGGGAGCAAACGGG
rnacentral:rRNA from 1 species